GCUCACUUGACCACGUCAAACAAAACGCUCUGUGGCAUUGAUUUGAAGAUGUUAAGAUUUGAUUUAUAUUCCUGGAUAGAAAAAGAAUACCACGAACUCUUAAGAAAAGCCGAGAAGAUUUUUUCAAGGCUUGAAUGUUGGCCCAAUAUCUACUCCAUCUAUU